GGGGAUAACUACUGGAAACGGUAGCUAAUACCGCAUAACGUCGCAAGACCAAAGAGGGGGACUUCGGGCCUCUUGCCAUCGGAUGUGCCCAGAUGGGAUUAGCUUGUUGGUGGGGUAACGGCUCACCAAGGCGACGAUCCCUAGCUGGUCUGAGAGGAUGACCAGCCACACUGGAACUGAGACACGGUCCAGACUCCUACGGGAGGCAGCAGUGGGGAAUAUUGCACAAUGGGCGCAAGCCUGAUGCAGCCAUGCCGCGUGUAUGAAGAAGGCCUUCGGGUUGUAAAGUACUUUCAGCGGGGAGGAAGGGAGUAAAGUUAAUACCUUUACUCAUUGACGUUACCCGCAGAAGAAGCACCGGCUAACUCCGUGCCAGCAGCCGCGGUAAUACGGAGGGUGCAAGCGUUAAUCGGAAUUACUGGGCGUAAAGCGCACGCAGGCGGUUUGUUAAGUCAGAUGUGAAAUCCCCGGGCUCAACCUGGGAACUGCAUCUGAUACUGGCAAGCUUGAGUCUCGUAGAGGGGGGUAGAAUUCCAGGUGUAGCGGUGAAAUGCGUAGAGAUCUGGAGGAAUACCGGUGGCGAAGGCGGCCCCCUGGACGAAGACUGACGCUCAGGUGCGAAAGCGUGGGGAGCAAACAGGAUUAGAUACCCU
rnacentral:rRNA from 1 species